UUUGCUAAUAAUCCAUAAACAUGAAAAUUUUCCAUGGACUAGAAUAUGUGCAGGUAAACUAAGUUGGCAUACUGAAAUGUACAAUUCUCCAGUCUCAUGAACUACUUUUUCAGCCUUGCAAAUCUUACAUCAGAGCUGUUAAAAUCCUCUCCAAGUUAAACGCGAAAAGGAAUCGCGUAAGUAAAUUUAAAUACAAGUUCCAAGGAUGCAAAACCGGUUGACAUCGCGAAGAUUCAACCUUUGCCAAGCAGACCAAAAAUCACACAGCAGAAAAUUCAAGUCCCGCCUUGUGGAGCAUCAAGAUUUCCUCCCUGUGCUACAUUGCCAUCAGUAACGGGGGG
rnacentral:misc_RNA from 1 species